UGAGCUAUGAGGACACAAUUUUUAGACAAAAUUAUUAUGUUGACCUGUAUACGCUAUUCUGAGCCACUA
ensembl:snoRNA Small nucleolar RNA U54